GUAGGCUCCAGCUCUCCUUGUCCCAUGGCAUGAUAGUUUACUGAGUUACUGCAGAGGCUGCUCCAGGAGGAGAUGUCUCUCUUGGUUGAACUUACCACAAACAUCAUCAGCUGUGAUGUCUUUUCAGAAGAGGACUUUUAAGGAAAGAUUGAGGCAAGCAUUGGAGUGAGGGGCCAAGUGCCUGGAACAACAGCAGUGGAGAGAAGCUGCUUUUAAUUUCUCCCUCCCUUGACUCAGCUCUCUGUAUUGAUGUGGGAAAGAUCUGGACAAGUACCAGGAUUUCUCUCCUGGGUGCUGGAAAGGUCUUUCCCCUGGACCUGACGACAAGAGGCAAUGUCACUGCGAAUGUUUCUGCUUCUCAGAUUCAUCAGAUGUCUGGAGAGAAACAAAGUUCCUGCCUCCUUUUUAUUGAGGAAAAGUAUUUCUAAAAGUGCUCUGCUCAGGCCUGGUGCGUCGGAUUCCAGCCUUCCUCGUGCUUGCACAAAUACUUCGCUGACUUCACCAUGGUUCUUGACCAUAUGCCAUAAUCUACUCGGGCUGCACCAUGUGGCUGAGUUCAAGCUUGCUUCAGGAUCUUUGGCUUCUGCUUUCCUGACAAAGCCUGCUGGAUUUCAGGACCUCAGAGCAGCAUUCUUCAGGCUGUGGGAAACAUGGGUGAGUGCUGACUGGGAAGGCAAGGCUGUGUCAGAGACCACCAACUCCUCCUCUAGGCAAACUUCCCCUGCUCCAAGUGCAGUAGGGACCAGCUGGGCAGCAGUUCAAGGUCACUUUCAGAGCAGGCUGGGUCAAAGCAAUGGAAUCACAGUAUUUACUGCAAACACCAAGGCUUUAUGA
rnacentral:lncRNA from 1 species